rnacentral:tRNA from 1 species
GCGGAUGUGGCAGAGUGGUAAUGCGUCGGCCUUGAGAGCCGAUUCGCCCUCGGGCGAUCAGGAGUUCGAAUCUCCUCAUCCGCG